AAUCGAACGUUUACUUUGUAUACCUCAUAUCACCGUCCAAAUUGAAUUUCUAAAUGAAUUUUUAGUACAAAAGCUCACAAGUGCUCGGAUAACCGAGUGAACUCGAGUGAACGAGCAAAAUCUUAUAAUAUUUGCAAAGGAGAUUGUAGGCGUGAAGACUCCACCAGAAACAACUACCUGCAAUAGCGUAACUUUACUAAGCGCCGGUGUAUUAGAGAUCGCGUGAUAACGAUGAUAAAGAAAUGACACAUCAAAAACGAGACAGACAAUCAGAUGUAGGUUUGAGGUUUCAUUGGAGGAAAGAGGACAGAUCCUGGGGAUGAAACCCAAAGCGAUUAACUUCCGCCAAAGAUCGCGUAGGUAUUAGUUACUUAUAAGGCCAAAUGGGCCCAUCUUAUUCUCCUCGCUUGAACAACUCGGUCACUUCUAAAGUUCGCUCAGAACCAUCCAGACGUAGUCUACCAGGCGUUUUUAAGUAGUGAAGCCAAAGAAAAGGCAAAAGGCAAGUUUUAGCGUGACCGGCUUAGAGCUGUAGUGAGAGCGACUGACUGGUGAUUAACUAGAGAUUACCUAGUGCAGUUAGGAGAAACAAGAUUAUCGAGAGUGUUACAAGGUGAAUUCUGAGGUGUUCAGAACACCUUGAACGUAGAUACUGUGACAUCCCGAAACCAUAGCAGACAAGAUCUUGGAUUUCCGAAGAUCGACACAGAGAAAAGCCACACCACGUGGCUUUUUUGUGUCUUCGUUGGUUUUUUCCGUGCUAGAUAACCUGCGGGCCCUCUCCACGUGCCAUGGAGGGACGAUUAGAUCCAGAGGUCGUUUCAAGCUGGUUUGGAUCGUCUACGAAGUGCGCGGAGGCAAAAGUUUAGGGGAUUCGCAACGUGGAUGAUCAGAAGAACAUCUCCCCCUUCCGAUUCGGCAGAGGCCGUAGGUCGAUCGAGCAACGAUCGCGGAAGAUCCCCCGUGCACCCGGACAUAAGCCUCGUGAACUGAAUCUACAGCGCGUAUCCGAAAGGAAGAUCCGUAGACCCAUCGUGGAGACCACGUGCGCUUCACCCACGCGACACGUGUGAACAAUCCAAGGCGUCGAGAAAACCGGGGUCUAGCGAAGACCCUCAAGCUAGGAGCGCAGCAUCGAGAAGAGCACAGGAGCAUCAUCAUCGGCCGCAACGGAAAACAGGUACCUGUAGUGAUAAGCCACGAACAAACACACCGAACGAUAUAGGGAUAGCUAGGUUUAGGUAGAUUGUGAGUACCAAUAAACGUGAUACUAAAUUGAUCCCUAGCGUCGAUUGCGAAAUAUUAGUGGUGGUUCGUUUUAUUUUGAGCGAGGAGAGUUUUGAUUAGAUUUUUUAAUUAUUGCGUUCGUACUGAGGUUUGAGAGUUAAGGUCGGUAUUUCGUUGGCGAGAGCUAAGUGUGAGUAGAUUGAGGACUCGGGAAAUCGAAUCGGGAAUCCGGUAAAUUGAGAACCUGCCCUGAGUGUCUCUCUCGGGUUUGUCGGGCUCAGACACACAGUAUUGGCAUCCUUGUAGUCUGCAAGGUUGGCGCUUAAGCUGGUACUGGAAUUGAUGUUCAGUUAAAAACACCCUCACUUUA